rnacentral:rRNA from 1 species
ACGCUGGCGGCGUGCCUAAUACAUGCAAGUAGAACGCUGAAGGAGGAGCUUGCUUCUCUGGAUGAGUUGCGAACGGGUGAGUAACGCGUAGGUAACCUGCCUGGUAGCGGGGGAUAACUAUUGGAAACGAUAGCUAAUACCGCAUAACAGUAGAUGUUGCAUGACAUUUGCUUAAAAGGUGCAAUUGCAUCACUACCAGAUGGACCUGCGUUGUAUUAGCUAGUUGGUGGGGUAACGGCUCACCAAGGCGACGAUACAUAGCCGACCUGAGAGGGUGAUCGGCCACACUGGGACUGAGACACGGCCCAGACUCCUGCGGGAGGCAGCAGUAGGGAAUCUUCGGCAAUGGACGGAAGUCUGACCGAGCAACGCCGCGUGAGUGAAGAAGGUUUUCGAAUCGUAAAGCUCUGUUGUAAGAGAAGAACAGGUGUGAGAGUGGAAAGUUCACACUGUGACGGUAUCUUACCAGAAAGGGACGGCUAACUACGUGCCAGCAGCCGCGGUAAUACGUAGGUCCCGAGCGUUGUCCGGAUUUAUUGGGCGUAAAGCGAGCGCAGGCGGUUAGAUAAGUCUGAAGUUAAAGGCUGUGGCUUAACCAUAGUACGCUUUGGAAACUGUUUAACUUGAGUGCAAGAGGGGAGAGUGGAAUUCCAUGUGUAGCGGUGAAAUGCGUAGAUAUAUGGAGGAACACCGGUGGCGAAAGCGGCUCUCUGGCUUGUAACUGACGCUGAGGCUCGAAAGCGUGGGGAGCAAACAGGAUUAGAUACCCCUGGUAGUCCACGCCGUAAACGAUGAGUGCUAGGUGUUAGACCCUUUCCGGGGUUUAGUGCCGCAGCUAACGCAUUAAGCACUCCGCCUGGGGAGUACGACCGCAAGGUUGAAACUCAAAGGAAUUGAC